rnacentral:rRNA from 1 species
AUUGAACGCUGGCGGCAGGCUUAACACAUGCAAGUCGAACGGUAACAUAAAGAAGCUUGCUUCUUUGAUGACGAGUGGCGGACGGGUGAGUAAUGCUUGGGAAUCUAGCUUAUGGAGGGGGAUAACUACGGGAAACUGUAGCUAAUACCGCGUAAUAUCGAAAGAUUAAAGUGUGGGACCUUCGGGCCACAUGCCAUAGGAUGAGCCCAAGUGGGAUUAGGUAGUUGGUGAGGUAAAGGCUCACCAAGCCGACGAUCUCUAGCUGGUCUGAGAGGAUGACCAGCCACACUGGGACUGAGACACGGCCCAGACUCCUACGGGAGGCAGCAGUGGGGAAUAUUGCGCAAUGGGGGCAACCCUGACGCAGCCAUGCCGCGUGAAUGAAGAAGGCCUUCGGGUUGUAAAGUUCUUUCGGUAGCGAGGAAGGCAUUUAGUUUAAUAGACUAGGUGAUUGACGUUAACUACAGAAGAAGCACCGGCUAACUCCGUGCCAGCAGCCGCGGUAAUACGGAGGGUGCGAGCGUUAAUCGGAAUAACUGGGCGUAAAGGGCACGCAGGCGGUGACUUAAGUGAGGUGUGAAAGCCCCGGGCUUAACCUGGGAAUUGCAUUUCAUACUGGGUCGCUAGAGUACUUUAGGGAGGGGUAGAAUUCCACGUGUAGCGGUGAAAUGCGUAGAGAUGUGGAGGAAUACCGAAGGCGAAGGCAGCCCCUUGGGAAUGUACUGACGCUCAUGUGCGAAAGCGUGGGGAGCAAACAGG